UACGUAGGGUGCAAGCGUUGUCCGGAAUUAUUGGGCGUAAAGAGCUCGUAGGCGGUCUGUCGCGUCGGCUGUGAAAUCCCGGAGCUCAACUCCGGGUCUGCAGUCGAUACGGGCAAGCUGGAGUACUGCAGGGGAGACUGGAAUUCCUGGUGUAGCGGUGAAAUGCGCAGAUAUCAGGAGGAACACCGGUGGCGAAGGCGGGUCUCUGGGCAGUAACUGACGCUGAGGAGCGAAAGCGUGGGGAGCGAACAGG
rnacentral:rRNA from 1 species